rnacentral:rRNA from 1 species
UACGUAGGUGGCAAGCGUUGUCCGGAAUUACUGGGUGUAAAGGGAGCGUAGGCGGUAUUGCAAGUUGAAUGUGAAAUCUAUCGGCUCAACUGAUAGGCUGCGUUCAAAACUGUAGUACUUGAGUGAAGUAGAGGCAGGCGGAAUUCCCGGUGUAGCGGUGGAAUGCGUAGAUAUCGGGAGGAACACCAGUGGCGAAGGCGGCCUGCUGGGCUUUAACUGACGCUGAGGCUCGAAAGCAUGGGGAGCAA